rnacentral:rRNA from 1 species
GACGUAGGGCGCGAGCGUUGUCCGGAUUUAUUGGGCGUAAAGGGCUCGUAGGCGGCCUGUCGCGUCGUUCGUGAAAACUUGGGGCUCAACCCCAAGCUUGCGGUCGAUACGGGCAGGCUAGAGUUCGGUAGGGGAGACUGGAAUUCCUGGUGUAGCGGUGAAAUGCGCAGAUAUCAGGAGGAACACCGGUGGCGAAGGCGGGUCUCUGGGCCGAUACUGACGCUGAGGAGCGAAAGCGUGGGGAGCGAACAGG